rnacentral:rRNA from 1 species
GACGAACGCUGGCGGCGUGCUUAACACAUGCAAGUCGAACGGAGCGAAUGAAAGCUUGCUUUUAUGAGCUUAGUGGCAAACGGGUGAGUAACACGUAGACAACCUGCCGAUCAGAUGGGGACAACAUUCCGAAAGGAAUGCUAAUACCGAAUGGCGUGGAGGGAAGGCAUCUUCCUUUCAUGAAAGAUGGCCUCUAUUUAUAAGCUAUCACUGAUCGAUGGGUCUGCGUCUGAUUAGCUGGUAGGUAAGGUAACGGCUUACCUAGGCGACGAUCAGUAGCCGGUCUGAGAGGAUGAACGGCCACAUUGGGACUGAGACACGGCCCAGACUCCUACGGGAGGCAGCAGUGGGGAAUCUUCCGCAAUGGGCGCAAGCCUGACGGAGCAACGCCGCGUGAGUGAAGAAGGUCUUCGGAUCGUAAAGCUCUGUUGAAGGGGACGAACGUACAUAAGUUGAAUAAGCUUAUGUAAUGACG